CCUACGGGCGGCAGCAGUGGGGAAUAUUGGACAAUGGGCGAAAGCCUGAUCCAGCCAUGCCGCGUGUGUGAAGAAGGCCUUCGGGUUGUAAAGCACUUUCAGUGGGGAAGAAAGCCUUGGGGCUAAUACCCUCGAGGAAGGACAUCACCCACAGAAGAAGCACCGGCUAACUCCGUGCCAGCAGCCGCGGUAAUACGGAGGGUGCGAGCGUUAAUCGGAAUUACUGGGCGUAAAGCGCGCGUAGGCGGUCUGAUAAGCCGGUUGUGAAAGCCCCGGGCUCAACCUGGGAACGGCAUCCGGAACUGUCAGGCUAGAGUGCAGGAGAGGAAGGUAGAAUUCCCGGUGUAGCGGUGAAAUGCGUAGAGAUCGGGAGGAAUACCAGAGGCGAAGGCGGCCUUCUGGACUGACACUGACGCUGAGGUGCGAAAGCGUGGGUAGCAAACAGGAUUAGAUACCCUUGUAGUC
rnacentral:rRNA from 1 species